rnacentral:rRNA from 1 species
UCAGGCCUAACACAUGCAAGUCGAACGGUAACAGGUCCAGCAAUGGAUGCUGACGAGUGGCGCACGGGUGCGUAACACGUAUGCAACCCACCUUUAACUGGAGGAUAGCCCCGAGAAAUCGGGAUUAAUACUCCAUAACAUUAUGAUGGGGCAUCUCAUUAUAAUUAAAGCUCCGGCGGUUUUAGAUGGGCAUGCGCGACAUUAGCUAGUUGGUGAGGUAACGGCUCACCAAGGCUACGAUGUCUAGGGGUUCUGAGAGGAUUAACCCCCACACUGGUACUGAGACACGGACCAGACUCCUACGGGAGGCAGCAGUAAGGAAUAUUGGUCAAUGGACGCAAGUCUGAACAGGCCAUGCCGCGUGAAGGAUGACGGCCCUAGUGGUUUAAAGUUCUUUUGUACGGGAAAAAACCUCCGGUCGGAAUCGGAG